rnacentral:rRNA from 1 species
AAAGGGCUGCAGUAUUUUGACUGUACAAAGGUAGCAUAAUCAUUAGUCUCUUAAUUGGUGACUUGUAUGAAAGAUUGGAUGAGAUAUAAACUGUCUCUUAUUUAUUUAUAAAAUUUAAUUUUUUAAUUAAAAAGUUAAAAUAAAUUUAAAAGACGAGAAGACCCUAUAGAGUUUAAUAAUUUUUAAUUUAAAAAUUUAUAUAAAAUUUUAAUAAUUAAAUAAGUGAAUUAUUUUAUUGGGGUGAUAAAAAAAUAAAAAGAACUUUUUUUAAAAAAAAAACAUAAAUAAAUGAAUUUUUUGAUCCAAAAAUUUUGAUUAAAAGAAAAAAUUACCUUAGGGAUAACAGCGUAAUUUUUUUUUUUA